rnacentral:rRNA from 1 species
GGGACACGUGGUAUCCUGUCUGAAUAUGGGGGGACCAUCCUCCAAGGCUAAAUACUCCUGACUGACCGAUAGUGAACCAGUACCGUGAGGGAAAGGCGAAAAGAACCCCGGCGAGGGGAGUGAAAAAGAACCUGAAACCGUGUACGUACAAGCAGUGGGAGCACGCUUAGGCGUGUGACUGCGUACCUUUUGUAUAAUGGGUCAGCGACUUAUAUUCUGUAGCAAGGUUAACCGAAUAGGGGAGCCGAAGGGAAACCGAGUCUUAACUGGGCGUUAAGUUGCAGGGUAUAGACCCGAAACCCGGUGAUCUAGCCAUGGGCAGGUUGAAGGUUGGGUAACACUAACUGGAGGACCGAACCGACUAAUGUUGAAAAAUUAGCGGAUGACUUGUGGCUGGGGGUGAAAGGCCAAUCAAACCGGGAGAUAGCUGGUUCUCCCCGAAAGCUAUUUAGGUAGCGCCUCGUGAAUUCAUCUCCGGGGGUAGAGCACUGUUUCGGCAAGGGGGUCAUCCCGACUUACCAACCCGAUGCAAACUGCGAAUACCGGAGAAUGUUAUCACGGGAGACACACGGCGGGUGCUAACGUCCGUCGUGAAGAGGGAAACAACCCAGACCGCCAGCUAAGGUCCCAAAGUCAUGGUUAAGUGGGAAACGAUGUGGGAAGGCCCAGACAGCCAGGAUGUUGGCUUAGAAGCAGCCAUCAUUUAAAGAAAGCGUAAUAGCUCACUGGUCGAGUCGGCCUGCGCGGAAGAUGUAACGGGGCUAAACCAUGCACCGAAGCUGCGGCAGCGACGCUGAUGCGUUGUUGGGUAGGGGAGCGUUCUGUAAGCCUGCGAAGGUGUGCUGUGAGGCAUGCUGGAGGUAUCAGAAGUGCGAAUGCUGACAUAAGUAACGAUAAAGCGGGUGAAAAGCCCGCUCGCCGGAAGACCAAGGGUUCCUGUCCAACGUUAAUCGGGGCAGGGUGAGUCGACCCCUAAGGCGAGGCCGAAAGGCGUAGUCGAUGGGAAACAGGUUAAUAUUCCUGUACUUGGUGUUACUGCGAAGGGGGGACGGAGAAGGCUAUGUUGGCCGGGCGACGGUUGUCCCGGUUUAAGCGUGUAGGCUGGUUUUCCAGGCAAAUCCGGAAAAUCAAGGCUGAGGCGUGAUGACGAGGCACUACGGUGCUGAAGCAACAAAUGCCCUGCUUCCAGGAAAAGCCUCUAAGCAUCAGGUAACAUCAAAUCGUACCCCAAACCGACACAGGUGGUCAGGUAGAGAAUACCAAGGCGCUUGAGAGAACUCGGGUGAAGGAACUAGGCAAAAUGGUGCCGUAACUUCGGGAGAAGGCACGCUGAUAUGUAGGUGAAGUCCCUCGCGGAUGGAGCUGAAAUCAGUCGAAGAUACCAGCUGGCUGCAACUGUUUAUUAAAAACACAGCACUGUGCAAACACGAAAGUGGACGUAUAC